UACAGAGGUCUCGAGCGUUAGGCGGAAUCACUGGGCUUAAAGCGUGUGUAGGCGGAUCGGUAAAGUACCUUUGUGAAAAUCCCCACAGCUUAACUGUGGAACUGCUUGGUAUACUGCCAGUCUUGAGCCAGCUAGGGGCUACCGGAACAAAUGGUGGAGCGGUGAAAUGCGUAGAUAUCAUUUGGAACGCCAAUGGUGAAAACAGGUAGCUGGGGCUGUGCUGACGCUGAGACACGAAGCCAGGGAGCAAACGGG
rnacentral:rRNA from 1 species